rnacentral:sRNA from 1 species
AUGGCUGCCUCCCAUAGCAUAUCUACUGACUAUGGAAAACUUGAUGGUAUCACAGCCAUAUUAAUGAGCUUCUUUUCCCGAAAUCAACCUGUGUCUUUCUGGAAAGCUUUGUUUCCUGUCUUUAACAAUGUCUUUGAUCUUCAUGGAGGAACUCUAAUGGCAAGGGAAAAUGAUCGCUUCUUAAAGCAAGUAACUUUCCAUCUACUUCGACUUGCAGUUUUCCGAAAUGAAAGCGGCAUGAAAAGGGCUGUUAUUGGGCUUCAGAUACUUGUGAAGGUAUGCCCUUUGAAGUUCAUAGAUUGCUGCUUUUGUUCUUAACUUACAUUAUUUUAUUUAUAUGUUUUGCAGAGGUCCUUCUAUUGCUUCAUGCAGACAGCAAGGUUAAGGAUCAUGCUGAUUAUCACAUUAUCGGAGCUAGAGGAAAGUAGUGAAGCACGACGGCUUAGAAAGUCUUUGGAGGAAAUGUCAGAUGAAGCUAAAAGCCCCAACCUAUUGAGGGAGUGUGGACUUUCUGAUAGUGCUCUGGUAACAAUUCCAGAAAGAUCGGAAGAGAACAGGUGGUCCUGGUCAGAGGUGAAAUAUCUCUCUGAUAGUCUUCUUCUUGCCCUAAUAGAAGCUUGGAGCAUGCACUAUUGGUAAGUUUUUAGCAAUAUUUGCAUCAGCUUUUAGUUUAAGAAACAGUCAGAAUAAUUACUCAAUUAAUAAACACUACGCCCUGACUCUAUUAGGAUGGGAAUGUUGCACUAAUCACGGUUAAGGGUUGACACCUCACAUCCCAAGACAAGACUGACAUCUUUUUUAAACUUCUGUUUUACAUUCUUGCUUUCAUUGUAAUUGGCACAUCUUGUGUGGACAUUUAACAUUGCUUCUAAUUCAUGGCGGGAGAUAAGUCUUAUAGAGCUGCUUAUUUCCAUAUAUUACUUUAUCUGGGUUUGUAAUUUUAUCAGUAGGUUAUAGUAUAAGUAUUUUUGCUUUGGUAGAGUUAUGUCUUCUUUCAUCAAAGUAAAGUAACCUACAGACACAUGUAAAGUUGGACACUUAAAAAGGACACAUUUCCUAAAAGUACUCGUAACUUUGACAAUUUACAUGUACUUGAAACAAACUUAAAUAUUCGUAAAAUUCAUUUCUAUAAACUGAUAGGGAGCCCCUUCCCUCACCACUCCUUACCCCGCACUCCCACCUUAAAGUAGGCCUGUGCCAGGUAUGCUGGAAUGGCGAGGGAUCAAUUUAAAGAGGUGACCUGAUUCUCUACUCCCUAUUGGCACAGGGAUGGGAUUUUAUUUGGGCAAGUGGCAGAUAUAGAUUUUGGGAAUAGGGUUAAGGUCGAGGUAGGGUCUUUGCAGUGCCAACCCAAUAGCGUUUAGUCAAAUUUAUGUGGAUGUUUGAUAGAGUGCUUUUGAAACACGAGGUAAGUUAGUAUUAAAAAUACAAUUAUAUUUGCCUUCUGCCACGGAGUGGAUGCUGUGGGAUAUUGGGUUGAUAAGAAAGAGAGGAGCUUUAUACGCACAGACAUAUCUUUGUUACCAUUACUCUUAAGGAAGUUUGCUCGUAUUUGACAAAUGGGAUUGAAGGAAUUUUUCCAAUUUUGAAUGUGGUCAUUACUUUCCUACUUUCUUGUCCUGAUGAGUAAAUGUUAUUGAACUAGCAAAAAUAAUACUAUCAUUUUCUCCCUUCUCUCACAAGGAUCUGUGAUGACUAUGGAUAGAUAUAUAGCUGUUGAAAGUUUCUACAAACUUGCAAUGACAUUUGCGCCCGUCCCAGAUCUUCACAUAAUGUGGUUGCUACAUUUAUGUGAUGCACAUCAGGAAAUGCAGUCUUGGGCUGAAGCUGCCCAGUGUGCUGUGGCUGUUGCUGGUGUUGUGAUGCAGGUAGUAAACUGUUAUUGGGGCUUGUGGUUCAACCACCCUCCGUCCUUAUAUGGAAAGUUGACCUUAGAAAAUCUACCUAACUAUUUCCCCAUUCUCUCACCUUUUACAGUGCAGAGCUGUAAAAUUGACUUCAUGAUUUGCUUACUGUUGCUUAAAUAUUAACUGCCUUUUGCUCGUAUGUCUAAUUAAAUUUACUGCAGGCCCUUGUGGCUAGAAAUGAUGGUGUUUGGAGCAAGGAUCAUGUAACUGCUCUUCGUAAAAUUUGCCCAAUGGUGAGCAAUGAGAUCACAUCAGAGGCGUCUGCUGCUGAGGUAGAGGGAUAUGGUGCUUCAAAGCUCACAGUUGACUCUGCAGUGACGUGCCUUCAGCUUGCUAAUAAGCUUUUCUCUCAAGCUGAGCUCUAUCACUUCUGUGCCAGCAUUCUUGAGCUUGUAAUUCCAGUUUAUAAAAGCAGGAGGGCAUAGGGGCAGCUGGCUAAAUGUCACACAUUACUCACUACUAUCUAUGAAUCAAUUCUUGAGCAGGAAUCAAGCCCAAUUCCAUUCACUGAUGCCACAUACUAUCGGGUGGGAUUCUAUGGUGAUAGAUUUGGGAAGCUUGAUAGAAAGGAGUAUGUAUACCGGGGGCCCCGUGACGUUUGGCUAGGUGACAUAAUGGAGAAACUUAGUCAUAUAUAUGAGUCUAGGAUGGAUGGCAAUCACACUUUACACAUUAUUCCAGAUUCGAGGCAAGUGAAGGCAGACGAAUUACAGCCUGGAGUCUGCUACCUGCAGAUAAUUGCUGUUGAUGCAGUAAUGGAGGAUGAAGAUUUGGGAAGCAGAAGGGAAAGGAUCUUUUCACUUUCCACUGGAAGUGUUCGUGCACGUGUGUUUGACCGCUUUUUGUUUGAUACCCCAUUUACGAAAAAUGGCAAGACCCAGGGUGGAUUGGAAGACCAAUGGAAGAGGCGAAGUGUGCUUCAGACUGAGGGCUCCUUCCCUGCCCUUGUGAAUAGGCUAUUGGUAAUUAAAUCUGAAUCUCUUGAGUUCUCCCCAGUAGAAAAUGCAAUUGGAAUGAUUGAAACUCGGACAGCUGCCCUACGAAAGGAGCUUGAAGAGCCUCUCAGUUCUGAAGGCGAUCAACUCCCUCGUCUCCAGAGUCUACAGAGAAUUCUUCAAGGCAGUGUUGCUGUUCAAGUAAGUUGUUAAGUUCGGUUUUUAAUUUCUGUUUUCUGUAUUGUCAGUUUUAACAAUAGAUAUUGCUGACUUCCAGAUUCUGAGUAAUUAGAAUUACCUUAUGCUCAUUCUUUUUGAAAAUGCGCUGUAAUCAAACUUAUGGCGUUUCUUAUUAUUUUCUAAUUGCUCUUGGCCAACUACAUGUGCAGGUGAACAGUGGAGUCCUAAGUGUGUGUACGGCCUUCCUGUCUGGUGAGCCUGCAACGAGGCUGCGUUCACAGGAAUUGCAGCAACUCAUUGCUGCACUCCUUGAAUUCAUGGCUGUUUGCAAGCGGGCCAUUCGGGUACACUUCAGAUUGAUUGGAGGAGAAGACCAGGAAUUCCACACACAGCUUGUGAAUGGAUUUCAGUCCCUCACUGCAGAGUUAUCUCAUUACAUCCCUGCCAUUCUCUCAGAGCUUUGACAAUGUUGUAGUAUUAUUUGUUUUUGGUUCUGCUUGAUGUGUCCAUAUUAUUUGUUCUCUUAUUAUUUUUUUCAAUGAUGUACAAAUAUGUGUAUGCUAACUUUAAUAGGUGAUGUUCAGAAAAUGAAAAUUGCUAGUCUGUCGCUCUCUCUACAGAAAAUACCCAUUUGGUGGGAUAGUAAAAUUGCAGCCGUAAUUUUUGCUGAUAUCAUAGUUUGGAGGAUGGAGUAAACAAAGAAAGCUUAAAAUAAAAAAUUGAAGUGCAAAAGCUGUUGCAAUUUUAUCUCACAUUGCAUCUUCCUUCGUUAUUUUUGUCGUACUGAGUAAACCUUCCUCUGGAAUCUAUUUUUUAUUAUACUACGUCACUUAAUGAUGCAUCACUUUUCAACUCGUGGCAGCAAAUCAUCGCUCAGACAGACUAGAUUAAUUUUCAAACACCUGGAGUAAUGCUUAGAUAUAUAUAUAUAUAUAUUUUUUUUUUUUUUUUUUUGAGGUUGAUGUUGCUCUUGGCCAACUACGUGUGCAGGUGAACAGUGGAGUCCUGAGUGUGUGUACGGCCUUCCUGUCUGGUGAGCCCGCAACGAGGCUGCGUUCACAGGAAUUGCAGCAACUCAUUGCUGCACUUCUUGAAUUCAUGGCUGUUUGCAAGCGGGCCAUUCGGGUACACUUCAGAUUGAUUGGAGAAGAAGACCAGGAAUUCCACACACAGCUUGUGAAUGGAUUUCAGUCCCUCACUGCAGAGUUAUCUCAUUACAUCCCUGCCAUUCUCUCAGAGCUUUGA